CCAGCAGCUGCGGUAAUUCCAGCUCCAAUAGCGUAUAUUUAAGUUGUUGCAGUUAAAAAGCUCGUAGUUGGAUAUCGGGUGGGUCGGGGUGGUCCGCCUCUGGUGUGCACUGCCUUCGGUCCAUCUUUCUGUCGGAGACGGGCUCUGUGAAAGCGGACUCGGAUUCGACGAGGUUACUUUGAGUAAAUUAGAGUGUUCAAAGCAGGCGAUCGCCUUGAAUACAUUAGCAUGGAAUAGCACGAUAGGACUCUGGCCUAUCUUGCUGGUCUGUAGGACCGGAGUAAUGAUUAAGAGGGAUUGCCGGGGGCAUUCGUAUUUCAUUGCUAGAGGUGAAAUUCUUGGAUUUAUGAAAGACGAACUUCUGCGAAAGCAUUUGCCAAGAAUGUUUUCAUUGAUCAAGAACGAAAGU
rnacentral:rRNA from 1 species